AGAUGAGAGAAACACCCCGGGCGGAGCCUCCCCAGCCCCGCCCACACCGUGCCUUCGUGCACACCACCGGGGCCUCGUGCCCCGGAACUCCUCACCGAUCGGA
rfam:Streptomyces vietnamensis strain GIM4.0001, complete genome.